GCGAGUGCUGUUGCUCUUUUCACCUGUAAGCUCUAUUUAUGCUAACAAAGUUGUAACUUGUGGUGAAAUUGUACUUGUUUAACGAGUAAAUUAUAUUUCAGGGUUGUUGUUAUUACGUCAUAUAUUCGGUCGUUAGACAAUAGUAUGAAGUAUGUCCGGAAUGUAUUCAUACUAUUCACCUGCAUGCCUAAAGUAUGUACUUUUUUACCGACAGAGAAGUAUGUUCUGUGACAUCUGAGGCUGCUGUUUCUCCUCCAGCCCACCAGAGGGAGCCCUUGCCCGAAUAUUUGCUCAGAGAAACCUUUAAUCCUUAGCUCGCUUCACCGGGAGUGUAUUCCAGAAAGCAGGUUAUGCAACAUACCUGGGUAAGUUUACGGAUAAGUUAACGGAUAACCUCAGCUUUCGGUUCCAAAAACGGAGGUAACUUUCAGGGUAUGUUAGUAGCCAUAGCAACUUAAUCUCUGAACAAAACCUGCUCCAGAGUAGGUUAUGUUCCAGAGUUAGUUUAUUUCAGGUAGAUGUUAGUAUGUUUCAGAGGCUGUCAGCGCAUGUGUGCCCUUUUAAUAGCGGCACAGUGGCCAAGAAAGUUCAGAUUACGCACAAUAUUAUACUUUUAAAGCAAUAUUACGGUAAACUGCAAUCUUUACCUCACAAAUCUUUUCUCCAGCAUUUCCAGUCUCACACUGCAGAUUUGCAUUCAAAAGUGAACAAACUGUGUACAUUGUGCUUUAACUUUUAAUAUUUUUUAAUGCAGAACACAUUGUAAAGUCCCCCACGCUCUUCACUGUGAAGACAGGGCUUUAUGUAUUUAUAUUUAGCCCUUCUAAUAAAUCAUUUUUAUUCUAUAAAUUUCAUAGAAUAAAAUUAUUAUAGCACCCACAUUCUAUUUACAGUUCCUUCAGUCAAUGAAUAUUAAUGUUAUUUAUAAAAUGACAUUCCAUAGUAUCAAUAUGUAGGUAAUGUCUGCCAAUUAAAAGCUUAAGCAAUUAAUCACUCGUUAUUCUUCUUCAUUAACUAGAUAAUAUGUGAUAAUUUCACAGACCACAGAUUAGAGAUUUUAUUUCUUAUCACUCUAAUUCAUGUAGGCUACGGUACAUAUAAAUGCACACAUUUCCAGACUUGUACAUUACUCUAUUAUCUGAAAAUAUAAAUGAGACAUGCUGUCAUUUAGAGUCACCCACAGUACCCUCAUUUAGCUGGUGGUUAGGUGAUUCAAAAGAUGUAUCUUUCUGAUGCUCAGCCUCCUCUACUCCAUCAGAAACUGUACAUGAUCCAUCUCUAAAUUACAUUUUUUGUUUUGCAUUUCAAUAGGAACCUUUUACAGCUUCCUGUUAACAAGGAAGAGAUGAGUUACUUUUCCCUAAUGCUGAGAUCAUGAACAUCUAUAAUGUAUAGUCAGACACAUGAUCUUCAAUUAAAACAACAUAAUUUCAUUACCAAGUUGGUGGAGGCAGAUGGACCCAACUGUACAUGACAACACAACAUGACAAGUUUUAAUGCCACAUCAAAUGAGAAAAGAACACAAUGGACAUGUAACUCCUAUCACUCUCCACCUCUGUUACAGCAGAUCUUCAUCUUAUAAUGCACACAAAUAAUCAUGUGUGGCCUACUAAAAAACAUUACAUUAAAUCAAUGGAAAAUGAUGACAACUGUGGGAGAUCCUACAACUGAAAGAGGGUCUAUUAAUACAAUGAGACCAUCAGCAACUGUGGGAAAUUAAAGGUGAUAUGAUUCUAAGUUUUUGAAACCCCAACUGGGUACAUCAAAUGGUAUUAAAAAUAAAGGAAAUACAUUCAGUUCACAUGACAGUAAAAUAAAAUUAGCGUGCAUAGAUCAUGGUAAAUACCAUUAAAAUUCAUCUUAAAAUAAAAUAUAUAUAAAACCUAUAGCCUAUUAUCAUAAUAUUAAUAGAAUAUGAAUGUUAAUACUUAUAAUAAAGUUCAUUGCAAACAAAGAACGUAAUGGUCGACCUAUUAAACAUUAAUGUAGUUGAGAGAGGUCUAAUAUUAAUGUUGAAUUAAGCUUUUAUGUACUGUAGAACUUUUAGUUUUAUUCAUUAAAAAAUUCACGCAAUGAUUCAGUAUAAUUUCUGUCAAGCAAACUCUCAGUCCUAAACCAAUGUAGCUCCUAUCGCUAUUACGAGUGAAGAUGAAGUAAUGCUCGUUUGCAGUCAUUAAAACUUAAUGUUCUGCUUCACCAAAAUAUGGCGCGCCUUUCUUCUUAGCGUCUGUUUCCAUGGUGACUCGUGGAUUUUUUUUUUCGACACAAACUACGAAGCUUCGGUGUUGACCUUUUGCCUGUAGAUUUGGAUUUGUCUUCUGAAUUAAUCUGACUGUUUGGACUUUGACCCUGGCCUGUUAUAUUGACUACUCUUUUGGCUUUUGCACUGUAACUUCACAUGUUUUUAAUAAACUUAUGCAAAUGGAUUCUACAACUCCAAGUUAAGCGUCUUUGUUACAUUUUCAAAGAAUAUAUUUUGAAUAUGUGUAUUAUUCUCACCCCAUUGGGAAAUUUGAUUGCUGUAAACAUAAACAUAUCCUUAGGCAAUUUUGCUUCUCAAUUAAAAUGAUAUCUUUAAAUGAUUUUUAAAGAUAUCAUUUUAAGGAUGUUUUAUAUAUUGGGUAUAUAACGUUGCUUUAUGCAACAUGUAAGGUUAUUUUUUGUUUUAUUAUACCAAAACACUGCUGAACAGCAACUGUAUUUUUCGAGUUUUUCAAAGACUACAAUAAUUGCGAUUAGGGUUAGGAUUAAGUAGGAAUGUUGUGGGGAUUUUAUGUACAUGCUGUACUGUACUGCCAGUCUGCAGCUGUACGGUAGCAUCAGAGCAAAACAGAUUAAUAUUUAUUUGAACCAUGGUCAAAAAAAUCCUUGCUGUCAUUGAAAGCAUACAUCCUCUGUAUAAUGGCCUAUGAUAACACCAUACAUUUUUAUUCUAAAGGUGGUAUUCAAUAAAAAGCAUUUAUAAUCAUUUUGUUCAGUUUAUAACUUGUCCAUUUGAAGUUGACAAUUCGGACACACCAGUAAAAGAGUGUGUACUCAGUAAAGAGUUUGUGGACGGUGCGCACAUAUUUACAGCACAUUUAUUUUUUAUUAAUCACAAUGUGUGUGUGGGAAAUUGCGUAUGCACGUUUCAAUGCCCAUUUUGUGCAUCCACAACAUUAAUUCAUCAAGGGCAUCAUACGUAAGUUCUAACUAACUUCGACUAGUUUUGUAUAAAUGGACACUAAGUUGCCAUUUACGCACUACUAAAUAUUUGAGCGUUGCACAAUUAAACUUAGUGUCACUUUCCCAGACAGUCAGUCUGGUUUUGUGCUGUGUGUGUGUUUCCCUCACCAUCAUGUGUUUACAGGUGCCUCAUAGCAGACAAUAGCAGUGUCUCCACGGGAACCCUCGUUCACACCAUUGCUUUUCUCUAGUCGCUGUUCUGCCAGUCAGAUACACCGUGCUUGGUUCAUGUGGAUUAUCUUGUGGAUUUAUAAUUACCUCUCGCUAUCCGGGUGCCCCAGGCAGACUUACCUUCUUCACCUCUGUCCUCCUGCUGCAGCCUAUGCCUGGUUAAUGAACUGUUUCCCUGUUUGCCUUGUGUGCUUCAAUAAAAAACAUUGACUGUCAUUCUCUGCAUUUGGGUCCUCACUUUCAGAAGUGUGACAUAAUAAUCCAGCCAACUUUGACCCAGCGGAGUAAUCUCAACAAGGGGCUCUGCUUCGUGUCAUCAGGAUCAAAUCUCUGGCCUGGACUAAGCAAUGGAAGCGGUGGAACAGCAGAUAGCUGAGUUAUCCUCGAUGGUUCAACAACUCCAUCUGACUCCCGAUUCCGGUUCCACCACUGAAGCUGUUUCUUCUACCCGUCGGUCGCUGCCUAUUCGUGGCGAUUGAACCCACCAUCUUCAUAUUCUGCGCCCCGUGUUAAUCUUCCUGAGUCUUCUGUGGAGGGCGAGCCCAUACCAUUUGGGAGAAAGGGGUUACUGGUGAGCGUGACUCCACUGGAUAAAUCCCCUGGAUCUUGCUCCUUCCUUCCAGCCAGGCUGCAGUGAGGCACCAUCUCUCAUCAGUGCUCAGCUUUAGGGGAUUUGUGAGCCGAUGGAAACUUCAUAGAAGUCAAAAUAGCCACUCGCUGAGGAUUACCUACCAUCUGUCUCGAAGAUCCUAUCUCAACCAGGAAAUAUUAUUUCUUCUCAUCAAGUCACCCUCUGCACUCGUGGUCCUGGGGCUCCCAUGGCUGGAUAAACAUAAUCCCCAUAUUUGCUGGGGAUAAAUUGGUGGACUUAACUGGGGUUCCUUAAGAGCAGUGUUCAGCAAGUCCCUCCUCACCACGCUCACCAGUAACCCCUUUACUAUUGAGAGGAGGUCAUGGCUAAGUAUAUCAAAGAGUAUCAGCAGCCAGUCUCAUCCAUUCUUCCUCGUCCCCAGCAGUGGCAGUGGGGGUGUGGUCGAGCAUUCGUCCGGAGAGAAAGGAAGCGGUAAGGGUGCAUACUCCUGAGCCAGAUAAUGAUUAACACCUGUUUCCAAUUGCAGUGAGCUUGGGGAGAGUGGUAUAAAAGAGACUACGCCAGCAGCAAAAGACAGAGAGAGUCAAGGACAAAGAGUCCUGUUGUGAAGCUGUUGUGUUAUUGUGAAGCUGAAAAGCUGAUGUAAUAUUGUGAAGCUGUAAAGCGCUGAAGUUUAUUAAUUAAAAGCCAUACCUGAUAACAAGUAGUAGGGAAGUAGUAAGGCCAGGAGGUCCUCGGAGCGCUCAUUCCUAGAUGAGUUUUGCCGACGUGCAGCGCUACUCCGCGUCGACCAGUGGGUCCCCCGAAGACAACCAGAGGUGUCCCCGAGCGACUGCGCCCCAUGGUGGCCACGCUACGAGCGUUCAAAAACUUUCCUUGCAGUUCUGCAGCCGACUGCUGGGUGGCGCCACCACGUCCCACCGCAGGCUUAUUGUAGUGGGAUCCCUCUCCAUUCAAAUAAACCACAGGUGGGCUCUUUUUUUGGGGAAGGUGGGGGCUGACCAUGAAAACCCUAUAAGCCCAAAUGCCCACUAUAUUGCUUCACUUCCUCUUGGGGGUGCCAAGGACUGCCCCCACGACCCACGGAGCCACUAAACUGCCCCUUACCAGCUAUUUUGGGGAAAAAGCCCACGGAAGCGAGCCUUUGAUUGGCCGACCACUGGGGCGUGUCCGGGAGGGGGCGGGGCUUACCGCGAACACACUAUUUGUCCCCUUUGACCAUGUUAAAAUAUUUAUGACUUGCAAGUGGGUGCAGUAGCAAUUAAAUUAACUUAUGAUAUGACAGUGGUAGAUCUAAUCACUGACAAUGAUGAAUCAGCCUACAGAGAGGAGGUGCACACUCUGACAUGCUGUCACCACCAACAUACUAAAUGUCCAUUUCCAAUUUAUUGUAUUGGUCUAUUGUGUCCACCAACAUAUUAAAUGUCCAUUUCCAAUUUAUUGUAUUGAUGUGUUCACACUAAGUCCACCAACAUACUAAAGGUCCAUUUCCAAUUUAUUGUAUUGGUCAAUUAUCCCUGUGUCCACCAACAUACUAAAGGUCCAUUUUCAAAUUAUUGUAUUGGUAUAUUGUGUCCACCAACAUAUUAAAUGUCCAUUUCCAAUUUAUUGUAUUGAUGUAUUUACUCUAAGUCUAUCAACAUACUAAAGGUCCAAGUGAGCCUUUGAUUGGCCGACCACUGGGGCGUGUCCACGGGGGGCUGGGCUGACCACGAACACACUAUUUGUCCACCUUCCCACUAUAUUACAGGACUUUGUCCCUGGGGGUCCACGGACCCCGGGGGUGUGUCCGGGAGGGGGCGGGGCUGACCAAGAACACACUAUUUGUCCACCUUCCCACUAUAUUACAAGACUUUGUCCCUGGAGGACCACGGACCCCUGGAGUGUAUCCAGUAGGGGACGGGGCUGACCACAAUACAACUAUUUGUCCAUUUACCCACUAAAUUGAACAACUUUCUCAAUGUUGGUCUGAGGACCCUCUGUGUGUGUCCGGGAGGCAGUGGGUCUGUCCAAGGACAAAUUAUUUGUCCCCUGUGACCACGUUAAAAUAUUUAUGACUUGCAAGUGGGUGCAGUAGCAAUUAAAUUCACUUAUGGUAAGACAGUGGUAGAUCUAAUCACUGACAAUGAUGAAACAGCCUACAGAGAGGAGGUGCACACUCUGACACGCUGUCACCACCAACAUACCAAAUGUCCAUUUCCAAUUUAUUGUAUUGGUCUAUUGUGUCCACCAACAUAGUAAAUGUCCAUUUCCAAUUUAUUGUAUUGGUCUAUUACCCCUGUGUCCACCAAAAUAAUAAAUGUCCAUUUCCAAUUUAUUGAAUUGGUCUAUUACCCCUGUGUCCACCAACAUACUAAAGGUCCAUUUUCAAUUUAUUGUAUUGGUAUAUUGUGUCCACCAACAUAUUAAAUGUCCAUUUCCAAUUUAUUGUAUUGGUCUAUUACCCCUGUGUCCACCAAAAUAAUAAAUGUCCAUUUCCAAUUUAUUGAAUUGGUCUAUUACCCCUGUGUCCAUCAACAUACUAAAGGUCCAUUUCCAAUUUAUUAUAUUGGUCUAUUACCCCUGUGUCCACCAACAUACUAAAGGUCCAUUUCCAAUUUAUUGUAUUGGUCUAUUGUGUCCACCAACAAAAUAAAUGUCCAUUUCUAAUUUAUUGGAUUGAUGUGUUCACUCUAAGCCACCAACAUACUAAAGGUCCAUUUCCAAUUUAUUGUAUUGGUCUAUUGUGUCCACCAACAUAAUAAAUGUCCAUUUCCAAUUUAUUGUAUUAGUCUAUUACCCCUGUGUCCACCAACAUACUAAAGGUCCAUUUUCAAUUUAUUGUAUUGGUCUAUUGUGUCCAUCAACACACUAAAGGUCCAUUUCCAAUUUAUUGUAUUGGUCUAUUGUGUUCACCAACAUACUAAAGGUCCAUUUCCAAUUUAUUAUAUUGGUCUUUACCCCUGUGUUCACCAACAAAAUAAAUGUCCAUUUCCAAUUUAUUGUAAUGGUAUAUUACCCCUGUGUCCACAAACAUACUAAAGGUCCAUUUUCAAUUUAUUAUAUUGGUCUAUUACCCUAAGUCCACCAACAUACUAAAUGUCCAUUUACAAUUUAUUGUAUAGGUGUAUUACCCCUGUGUCCACAACAUACUAAAUGUUAAUUUCGAAAUUAUUGUAUUGGUGUAUUAACACUAAGUCCACCAACAUACUAAAUGUCCAUUUUCAAUUUAUUGUAUUGGUCUAUUGUGUCAACCAACAUAUUAAAUGUACAUUUUCAAUUGAUUGUAUUGGUCUAUUACCCUAAAUCCACCAACAUACUAAAUGUCCAUUUCCAAUUUAUUGUAUUGGUGUAUUGUGUCCACCAAAAUACCAAAUGUCCAUUUUCAGUUUAUUGUAUUGGUGUAAUAACCCUAGUCCACCAACAUACUAAAUGUCCAUUUUCAAUUUAUUGUAUUGGUGUAAUAACCCUAGUCCACCAACAUACUAAAUGUCCAUUUUCAAUUUAUUGUAUAGGUCUAUUACCCCUAAGUCCACCAACAUACUAAAUGUCCAUUUCCAAUUUAUUUUAUAGGUGUAUUAACCCUGAGACAAAAUAUUUGACUUUCUCCUCUCAAAAUUCACACCAAA